rnacentral:lncRNA from 1 species
CAGAAAGAAGGCCAGAGUGGCUGGAGAUCGUAAUGGGGAGAGAGUUACAAGAUGAGGUUGGAGAUGGAGCAUGGACCAGAUUUUCCAAAGCCUUGUGGGCCGUGGAAAGAACUUGGGUUUUUAUUCCGAGUGCAAUGGGAAGCCAUUUCUGCUCAGUGAGGAGCUCCCUUGCCUGUUAUCUCACUGUGACCACUGCUGGGGUUUUAUAUCUCCACAGAGACCAGCACCAGCUGAUGCGGCCAGGCCAGGUCCCAGAAGUGACUGUGUCAGGAUGGAGGGUGGCCCUGGGCAUCCUGCCAUUGAAAGCUGAUUGGAGCUGGACCAGCUUAGGCCAGUCUAGAGCUGAGGAGUAUCAUCAAGAGCAGGACCCUCUGGAAUGUGGCUGUUUGUGGAAAGAGGUCAUGCGGUAGGACUGCUCAUCCUGGCCCCCUGCGGCUAGAUGGAUCAGGAGACCAGUUCUGGCCAAUGAGUGUGAACAGAAGGGACCUGUGUUAUUUAUGGGCCCAAGCAUGAUUGCUGGGUCAAGAUCUCCAUCAUUCUUUUCCCCUCCAGCUCAUAAACCAGCAACACUUGAGGUGGGAGCUUUUCUGAAUACAAUGAGCCGAAACUCCUCGCCCACCCACAAUGGACUUGUCGCGUGAGUGAGAAAUAAACUUGAGUUAUUG